UUCCGGCAGCGCACCCGGAAGCCACGAUCUUUCGCCGAGAGACAUGUGGCUGUUCUGGUCACUUCCGGGUAGUACUCUAUGAUCAUCGAGCGGCGAAGCAUCAAUAGCCGAACGGGACGGAAGGGGGCGAUUGUUGGUUUUGAAAUAGCGUGGUAUUUAGGAAAACGUGGUGCAGCUAAAUACCCUAAAGCAGGCAUGGGCAAAUUUGGGCCUUCCAGGUGUUUUCGACUUCAAUUCCCAGAAUUCCUAACAGCUUCAGGUCCUUUCCUUUUCCCCCUCAGCCGCUUAAGCUGUUAGGAAUCCUGGGAACUGAAGUCGAAAACACCUGGAGGGCCCAAGUUUGCCCAUGCCUGCCCUAAAGGCACCAGAUCGCAUCUGAUCUUGGAAGGAGUAUUGCAAGAUCUCCCAGAGGGUUGAGGUUUCAACAAUAGCCCAGCCUCCCUGUCUAUUGGCCAUCAUAGCUGGGACUGUUGGAACUUACAAUCCAGAAACAUUCUAUGUUUUAUGAAUUCAAGUUGCAAAAAAUAUAUCAUCAACUAAAUAGUGGGAAAGGUAUAUGCUCCUGUGUUUCUGCUGUUCCUUUCCUCCUAGUAAAGAGUUUUUUCCUAUGCAAGUGGAAAUUGCUGCAUAUAAUGUUGAUCAGAGGAAAUGUUGUGCAUGAAAAGGAUUGUUUGUAUGUGUAUUUAAUUUAUUGAUUAAAUAAAUUUAUUCUAGUUUGACUCUGCA